CCCUUAGAUGUCCUGGGCCGCACGCGCGCUACACUGAUGCAUGCAACGAGUUUAUAACCUUGGCCUGAAAGGUCUGGGUAAUCUUUUGAACGUGCAUCGUGAUAGGGAUAGAUUAUUGCAAUUGUUAAUCUUGAACGAGGAAUUCCUAGUAAAAGCGAGUCAUCAGCUCGCAUUGAUUACGUCCCUGCCCUUUGUACACACCGCCCGUCGCACCUACCGAUUGAAUGGUUCGGUGAAGAUCUCGGACUUCGAUAUUUAUUCUUUAUUGAGUUUAUAUUGUGGGAAGUUAUCUAAACCUCAUCAUUUAGAGGAAGGUGAAGUCGUAACA
rnacentral:rRNA from 1 species